rnacentral:rRNA from 1 species
AGGUUUGGAUCCUGGCUCAGGACGAACGCUGGCGGCGUGCCUAAUACAUGCAAGUAGAACGCUGAAGGAGGGGCUUGCUUCUCUGGAUGAGUUGCGAACGGGUGAGUAACGCGUAGGUAACCUGCCUGGUAGCGGGGGAUAACUAUUGGAAAUGAUAGCUAAUACCGCAUAAGAGUAGAUGUUGCAUGACAUUUGCUUAAAAGGUGCAAUUGCAUCACUACCAGAUGGACCUGCGUUGUAUUAGCUAGUUGGUGGGGUAACGGCUCACCAAGGCGACGAUACAUAGCCGACCUGAGAGGGUGAUCGGCCACACUGGGACUGAGACACGGCCCAGACUCCUACGGGAGGCAGCAGUAGGGAAUCUUCGGCAAUGGACGGAAGUCUGACCGAGCAACGCCGCGUGAGUGAAGAAGGUUUUCGGAUCGUAAAGCUCUGUUGUAAGAGAAGAACGAGUGUGAGAGUGGAAAGUUCACACUGUGACGGUAUCUUACCAGAAAGGGACGGCUAACUACGUGCCAGCAGCCGCGGUAAUACGUAGGUCCCGAGCGUUGUCCGGAUUUAUUGGGCGUAAAGCGAGCGCAGGCGGUUAGAUAAGUCUGAAGUUAAAGGCUGUGGCUUAACCAUAGUACGCUUUGGAAACUGUUUAACUUGAGUGCAAGAGGGGAGAGUGGAAUUCCAUGUGUAGCGGUGAAAUGCGUANAUAUAUGGAGGAACACCGGUGGCGAAAGCGGCUCUCUGGCUUGUAACUGACGCUGAGCUCGAAGCGUGGGGAGC